AACGCGAAGAACCUUACCAGGUCUUGACAUCCUUUGACCACUCUAGAGAUAGAGCUUCCCCUUCGGGGGCAAAGUGACAGGUGGUGCAUGGUUGUCGUCAGCUCGUGUCGUGAGAUGUUGGGUUAAGUCCCGCAACGAGCGCAACCCUUAUUGUUAGUUGCCAUCAUUUAGUUGGGCACUCUAGCAAGACUGCCGGUGACAGACCGGAGGAAGGUGGGGAUGACGUCAAAUCAUCA
rnacentral:rRNA from 1 species